CGACUUUCUUCUGUGCUGAUGACAGAUCUGUUGCUCUGUUAUCAGGCACUGCUCUUUUGCCAUUUCAGUUUCAUAACCACUGCCUCUGCCUAGGAGCCAGUGAACAGCCAUGUUGGGCAAACCAAGCCUCCGAAGAGGAGGAGGAGGAGGAUGGAUGACACUGAGUGGUUCCCUUUGACAUGGCUGGGGCUCUGAAGAGUAUCUGCUGAGGUCUCAGCAUGCCCGGUGACCUCCAGGGCUCCUUUCCAGCACAGCCUUGGGUGUGCACUGUAGCGAAUGAAACCAUCCAUGGGAGAGAGCUCCAAGGAGCCAUCUGGGAAGGUUCUUCAGCGGGGCCUGUGGAUGUGUUUGACUCAGUGGAGAAGAUCUCAUCCUGGGACCUGCUGGCCCUCUAUCCAAGGAACGCCGGUGGCAGAUGGAGCAAUGGGAGCAUGUGUGCACACAGGGGAGAAGCGGACUUCCAGCCCUUCUGCUGCAAAACUGCUGUACCUGAAACAGUAACUUUGCAGGGCCUGACACAAUAGUGAUGCUUUUUUUGGUUCUGCUCAGCAGAGGGCACUGAAUCCUGUAAAUAGGAGUUGGUAUGGUGCAGCACAAAGGGCCUGAUAGCUUUAGCAGAUGGGCUAAUCUUUUUUCCUCUGGAUACUGGUGGUAUGGAACUGAAGUUUGUGGCUCUGUCUGCUGCACGCCGAUUGACUGAGAGACGACCAUGGCAUGUGUUCGCAGGUGAUAAACUCAUGUCUCUUUUUAUAUAUGUUUUAUUUUAAUUAAAGUGGUAGCUAUAAAAACCAGUCAUCUGGAAAUCAGGUUGGCUAAAGUAUUAGCCAUCUGGCAUCCUUCUGAACAGCGGCACCAGCCAACUGGCACAGGUAGGGGAGAUGCAAACACCUACAAACCAGAACCUGAACAGCACAGGCUGGCAUGGAAACGGGAUGAGUUGUACAGGCUUGUUCCUACAGUCCACAAGAGAACUGUAGGAUUGGUCUGUGAGGAGUUGGCUGAAUUAGAAAGUUUAGCCUUCUUCAUAGCCCUUGAUCCAAAGUCUCCACAAUUUCACCACAAGCAUUACCUCCCUCCCCCCAAAAUGGAUUUGCCUUGUUUUCAGCAAUACCGACAAACACUGCACUGUCAAUCUGCUCCCCUCUCCCUCUUCUGCCGCUGGGCUCUUUCUUGCUGAGUGCUAGUGUUUGCGUUUUCCCCACUGAGGGUUCAGAUGAAUUGUAAGCCAAAGGGACUAACAAAAGAAUAUUAGAAAUGUAGCUUUUUCAGAUGACUUUUUUAGUUUAGAUGGAUCUUGCUCACGUA
rnacentral:lncRNA from 1 species